rnacentral:rRNA from 1 species
GAACGCUGGCGGCAGGCCUAACACAUGCAAGUCGAGCGGUAGAGAGGUGCUUGCAUCUCUUGAGAGCGGCGGACGGGUGAGUAAUGCCUAGGAAUCUGCCUGGUGGUGGGGGAUAACGUUCGGAAACGGACGCUAAUACCGCAUACGUCCUACGGGAGAAAGCGGGGAUCUUCGGACCUCGCGCCAUUAGAUGAGCCUAGGUCGGAUUAGCUAGUUGGUGAGGUAAUGGCUCACCAAGCCGACGAUCUGUAGCUGGUCUGAGAGGACGACCAGCCACACUGGGACUGAGACACGGCCCAGACUCCUACGGGAGGCAGCAGUGGGGAAUUUUGGACAAUGGGCGCAAGCCUGAUCCAGCAAUGCCGCGUGCAGGAUGAAGGCCUUCGGGUUGUAAACUGCUUUGUACGGAACGAAACGGUGAGCUCUAAUACAGUUUGCUAAUGACGGUACCGUAAGAAUAAGCACCGGCUAACUACGUG